rfam:Populus trichocarpa scaffold_14_contig_142, whole genome shotgun sequence.
UCUAGAACUCGAGAUAUAGGCUGAACACUGAACAAUGUUUGGGCUGUAGGACAGAUUCUGACUUCUCUUUUGUUGCUAUAAUUUGAACUUAAAAACAACCGUUUUGAAUCUUGGAUUCUUCAUGAAAGUUUUAGGCCUAUGUCUUAGCUUUCCAUG